CAUCACCUCAUUCUCCCCGCGCCGGCAGAUCGCCAAUCCCUAAUGACCCAACACAUGCAGCUAUGUGAAACUAUGAUGUAUUUUCGAUAAAAAAGGUGAACGGAAAGCUUCAAUGUCCGGCUCUGCAUCACCCUACAGUCCAGCAAUGACCAGCAAAGGAAAGCCAACAUGUGUUAGCAAUGGAGAAAAAGAUUCACGGGAACAAUCCGGUAAAGAUAUAUCAAAAGGUACACUAGCGCAACGUGCCCAACGAGAACGAGAACGUAUUUUUAAGCAAACCACUGAAAGGCGAUCGGAACAACACUCGCCGAUAAAUACAAGUGUAAGACUCUUAUUA